rnacentral:rRNA from 1 species
CAGUAGCCGCGGUAAUACGGGGGGGGCAAGUGUUAUUCGGAAUGACUGGGCGUAAAGGGCACGUAGGCGGUGAAAAGGGUGGAAAGUGAAAGUCGCCAAAACACUGGCGGGGUGCUUUCUUGACCAUUUCACUUGAGUGAGAUAGGGGAGAGUGGAAUUUCGUGUGGAGGGAUCAAAUCCUAAGAUAUACGAAGGAACGCCAACCGCGAAGGCAGCUCUCUGGGUCCCCACUGACGCUGGGGUGCGAAAGCAUGGGGAGCAAACAGGAUCAGAUACCCCAGUAGUCCCUGUCUCUUAUACC